UUUGGUGGAGGAACCAGACUGGAUGUUGGAAGUGAUGUCCGUCCCACCCUGACGGUGCUGCCCCCCUCCAGUGAGGAGCUGCAGCAGGGGAAGGCCACGCUCAUGUGCCUGGCCAACAAGGGCUUCCCCUCAGACUGGAGUCUGGCCUGGAAGGUGGACGGCAGCAGCAGCAGCAGCAGCAGCUGGGAGGAGAGCAGGAGCCCCGGGGUGCUGGAGAAGGACGGCCGCUACAGCUGGAGCAGCACCCUGAGGCUCCCUGCAGACCAGUGGAGGAAGGUGGGCUCUGUGACCUGUGAGGCCACCCAGGGCUCCCAGGCUCUGGUCUCAGAGACACUGAGGAGAGACCAGUGUUCCCAGUCCUGACCUGACUCACUGGGACUCUACUGGUUUUGCUACUGGUUUUACUCUGCUACUGCUCUUAGUCUGCUCUCUGUAACUCUGUCACUCAACUCUGUCAUCAGAUAUUAUUAACAUUAUUCAACUUUAAUUAGUGAAGCUUGAUUGAUGUAAUGAUGUUAUCAAUAUAAGAAAAUAAAAAAGUUAUUUCAAAUUAA